ACGAAGGUGGCGAGCGUUGUUCGGAUUCACUGGGCAUAAAGGGCGCGUAGGCGGUGCCGCAAGCGGCGUGUGAAAUUCCGGGGCUCAACCCCGGAACGGCGCGCUGGACUGCGGUGCUCGAGUGCGGGAGGGGGGUGCGGAACUCUAGGUGGAGCGGUGAAAUGCGUAGAUAUCUAGAGGAACACCGGUGGCGAAAGCGACACCCUGGCCCGCAACUGACGCUGAGGCGCGAAAGCGUGGGUAGCAAACAGGAUUAGAUACCCUGGUAGUCCACGCCGUAAACGAUGAGCACUAGGUAGCCGUCGGAUCCGACCGGGGGCUGCUGAAGGUAAUCCAUUAGGUGCUCCGCCUGGGGAGUAUGGUCGCAAGGCUG
rnacentral:rRNA from 1 species